GGGUACAGGAAAAGCUUGCUUUUCCGCUGACGACCGGCGCACGGGUGCGUAACACGUAUGCAACCUACCUCUUACUGGGGUAUAGCCCAGAGAAAUUUGGAUUAAUCCCCCAUAGUACCAUUAAACCGCAUGGUUUGAUGGUUAAAGAUUACNGUAAGAGAUGGGCAUGCGUCCCAUUAGUUAGUUGGCGAGGUAACGGCUCACCAAGACUCCGAUGGGUAGGGGUUCUGAGAGGAAGAUCCCCCACACUGGUACUGAGACACGGACCAGACUCCUACGGGAGGCAGCAGUGAGGAAUAUUGCGCAAUGGACGAAAGUCUGACGCAGCCAUGCCGCGUGCAGGAUGACGGCGCUACGCGUUGUAAACUGCUUUUAUUUACAAAGAAACCCCAGGACGUGUCCUGGGCUGACGGUAGUAUUUGAAUAAGCACCGGCUAACUCCGUGCCAGCAGCCGCGGUAAUACGGAGGGUGCAAGCGUUAUCCGGAUUUAUUGGGUUUAAAGGGUCCGUAGGCGGACAAUUAA
rnacentral:rRNA from 1 species